GACAGAGGGUGCAAACGUUGUUCGGAAUUACUGGGCGUAAAGCGUGUGUAGGCGGCCGCAUAAGUCGGGUGCGAAAGCCCAGGGCUCAACCCUGGAAGUGCACUCGAAACUGUGUGGCUCGAGUACCGGAGAGGUUGGUGGAAUUCUCGGUGUAGAGGUGAAAUUCGUAGAUAUGGGGAGGAACACCGGUGGCGAAGGCGGCCAUCUGGACGGAUACUGACGCUGAGACGCGAAAGCGUGGGGAGCAAACAGG
rnacentral:rRNA from 1 species